GAUGAACGCUAGCGGGAGGCUUAAUACAUGCAAGUCGGACGGUAACAUAGGAGCUUGCUCCUGAUGACGAGUGGCGCACGGGUGAGUAACGCGUACACGACCUACCUUAAACUGGGGGACAUAUACUGGAAACGGAGUAAAUACCCCAUAGUAUCUUUUUAGCUAAGAAUGAAGAUUAAAGCUUCGGCGGUUUAAGAUGGGUGUGCGUACUAUUAGAUAGUUGGUGAGGUAACGGCUCACCAAGUCGACGAUAGUUAGGGGGCGUGAGAGCGUGACCCCCCACACGGGUACUGAGACACGGACCCGACUCCUACGGGAGGCAGCAGUAAGGAAUAUUGGACAAUGGAGGCAACUCUGAUCCAGCCAUCCCGCGUGCAGGACGAAGGCCCUCUGGGUCGUAAACUGCUUUUAUAUACCAAGAAUAGCAGGCAUUUAUGCUUGUAUGACGGUAGUAUAUGAAUAAGCACCGGCUAACUCCG
rnacentral:rRNA from 1 species